GGAGGGCACGCUUGACAUGGUUGCAGGCUUGGCGGAGGGAACGCUUGACGAGGCUGCACGCUUGGCGGAGGCCACGCCUGAUGAGGAUGCACACUUGGUGGAAAGAACAUCUGAAGAGGUUAAAUGCUUGGUGGAAAGAACACCUGAGAAGGCUGCACCCCUGGUGGAAGGAUCAUCUGACAAAAUUCGGUAUUUGAGGAAUGCGACAUCUGGAAGGAUUGAACAGUCAGCAGAGGAAACACCUAUGAAGCCUGCAAAAGAAACAUCUGCGAAAUUUGCGUGGACAGCACAAGGAAAACCUACGCAGAUCACAUGGGUGGAAGAAAAACAACCUGAAAAGACUAAAUGCCUGGCAAGUGUAACAUCUUAUAAAACUGAAGUUGUGGAAACAGGAAUAUCUGAGAUGAGCGAACGUUCCACAGAAGAAACAUCUACAAAAGCCAGUACAAAUGGGAAUGUGAGCUCUGUAAAGUCUAUAUUCAGCAAACCAUCUAUGGAAAAUUUACAGUCUAUAAAAAUUGAGGAAGACUUCAGUCUUGCUAACAAGGAGGGAGCAUUGAAGACAGUAACUGGACAACAAGAAGAUGAUAUUUGCAUUAUUGAACAAGCUCCUCAAGAUCAAACAAAUAAGAUGCCCACAUCAGAAUCAGGACCAAAAGAAUAUGGGAAGUCAUCUUCAGAUUCUGAGGUUAACUCUGAGACUGCUGCAAAGAAUUCAAUGUGUUUACCUGAGGCUACAUAUCAAAAAGAAAUCAAGACAAUAAAUGGAAAAAGAGAAGAUCAAAUGUUCCCAUCAGAAUCUGAAGAAGAGGAGGAUGAAACAAAAUCUUGGGAUUCUGAGAGUCUUUUUGAGAGUGUUAAAGAGAAUCGUGUGUGUUUACUCGGUGCUACAUAUCAAAAAGAAAUGAAGACAAUAAAUGGAAAAUUAGAAGAUCAAAUGUUCCCAUCAGAAUCUGAAGAAGGGGAAGAUGAAACAAAAUCUUGGGAUUCUGAGAGUCUUUUUGAGAGUGUUCAAGAGAAUCAUGUGUGUUUACACGAUGCUACAUAUCAACAAAAAAUCAAGACAAUAUUUGGAAAAUUAGUAGAUCAAAUGUUUCCAUCAGAAUCUAAACAAGAGGAAGAUGAAAAAAAUUCUUGGGAUUCUGAGAGUCUUCCUGAGAGUGUUCAAGAGAACCAUGUGUGUUUACUCGAUGCUACAUAUCAAAAAGAAAUGAAGACAAUAAAUGAAAAAUUAGAAGAUCAAAUGUUCCCAUCAGAAUCUAAACAAGAGGAAGAUGAAAAAAAUUCUUGGGAUUCUGAGAGUCUUCCUGAGAGUGUUCAAGAGAACCAUGUGUGUUUACUCGAUGCUACAUAUCAAAAAGAAAUGAAGACAAUAAAUGAAAAAUUAGAAGAUCAAAUGUUCCCAUCAGAAUCUAAACAAGAGGAAGAUGAAAAAAAUUCUUGGGAUUCUGAGAGUCUUCCUGAGAGUGUUCAAGAGAACCAUGUGUGUUUACUCGAUGCUACAUAUCAAAAAGAAAUGAAGACAAUAAAUGAAAAAUUAGAAGAUCAAAUGUUCCCAUCAGAAUCUAAACAAGAGGAAGAUGAAAAAAAUUCUUGGGAUUCUGAGAGUCUUCCUGAGAGUGUUCAAGAGAACCAUGUGUGUUUACUCGAUGCUACAUAUCAAAAAGAAAUGAAGACAAUAAAUGAAAAAUUAGAAGAUCAAAUGUUCCCAUCAGAAUCUAAACAAGAGGAAGAUGAAAAAAAUUCUUGGGAUUCUGAGAGUCUUUCUGAGAGUGUUCAACAGAAGUAUGUGUGUUUACCCGAUGCUGCAUAUCAAAAAGAAAUCAAGACAAUAAAUGGAAAAAUGGAAGAGUCUCCUGAUGUACAUACCCUUCUGAAGCCUUUCUGUGGAAUGAAAGAUUCUGUUCCAAAUAAAGCAUUAGAACUGAAGGACAUACAAAGAUUCAAAGCAGAGGAUGUGAGUUCUGUAGAGUUUCCAUUGAGUCUUUUCAGCAAACUGACUAUGGAAAAUUUACGGUCUACAAAAGUUGAGGAAGACAUCAAUCUUGCUACCAAGGUUAACUCUGAGCAUGCUGCACAGAAUUAUAUGUGUUUACCUCAGACUUCAUAUCAAAAAGAGAUCAAGACAAUAAAUGGGAAAAUAGAAGAGCCUCCUAAGAAGCCUUCUGAUUUUGAGCCUGCCAUUGAAAUGCAAAACUCUGUUUCAAAUAUAGCCUUAGAAUGGAAGAAUGAACAAACAUUGGGAGCAGAUUCACCCAUCCUUUCAAAAAUCUUGGAUGUGGAACCUUCUUGUAAAAGAGCAAGGGAACUUAAAAUAUAUCAUUGUAAACAACUUACAGAAAAAAUGAAACAAAUGAAAAAGAAGGUUUGUGAACUACAAAAGGAACUAUCAGAAGCAAAAAUAAAAUUUCAGUUAGAGAAUGAAAAAGUUAAAUGGCAGCAAGAGCUCUGCAGUGUGAGGUUUACUUUAAACCAAGAAGAAGAGAAGAGAAGAAAUAUCGAUAUGUUAAAUGAAAACAUUAGGGAAGAAUUAGGAAGAAUCAAAGAGCAACAUAGAAAAGAAUUAGAAGUGAGACAACAAAUUGAAAUGGCUCACAGAAUGCAAGACAUGGAAUUGAAGUCUCUAAGAAGUAAUUUCAAUCAGGUUUCUCACACUCGUGAAAAUGAAAAUGAUCUCUUACAUGAAGAUUGCGUGUUGGAAAAGGAAAUUGCCAUGCUAAAACUGGAAAGAGACACACUAAGACAUCUGAACCAGGAGAAGGAAAAUAAAUACUUUGAGGACAUGAAGAUUUUAAAAGAAAAGAAUGCUGAACUUCAGAUUACCUUAAAACAGAAAAAGAAAACAUUAACAAAAAGGGCACCUGAAUAUAGUGAGCAACUUAAAGUUCUGACAGCGGAGAACACAAUGCUCACUUCUAAACUGAAGGAAAAGCAAGACAAAGAAAUACUGAAGACAGAAAUUGAAUCAUAUCAUCCUAGACUGGCUUCUGCUAUACAAGACCAUGAUCAAAAUGUAGCUUCAAGCAAAAAACAAGAACUUGCUUUCCAUGCUUCAGGAGAUGCUCAUUUGCAAGGAAAAAUGAAUGUUGAUGUGAAUAAUGUAAUAUAUAACAAUGAGAUGCCUCAUCAACCACUUUCUGAAGUUCAAAGUAAAUCCAAAAGCCUAAAAAUGACUAAUUAUGCAGGAGAUGCUGUAAGAGAAAAUACAUUGGUUUUAGAACAUGCACAAAGAGACCUAAGUGAAAUACAGUGCCAAUUAAAGAAAGUCGAAUACAUGUAUAAAAAUGAAGAAGAUAAUGUGCACCCACACACUGAACAGCAGGAGUCUCUGGAGCAGAGAUUACUUCAACUAGAAAGCAAAAAUAUAUGGCUUCGACAGCAAUUAGUUCAUGCACUUAAGAAAGCUAAUAACAAAAGCAAGAUAACAAUUAAUAUUAGGUUUCUUGAGAGGAAAAAGGAACAUCAUCUCCUAAGAGAGAAAAAUGAGGAGAUAGUUAAUAACUGCAAACGUUUAAAAGAAUGUAUAUAUCAAUAUGAAAAAGAGAAAGCAGAAAGAGAAGUCAUUAUAAGACAACUUCAAAAAAAAUUGGCUGGUCUCCAUAAACAGUGUGUGUCUGAAGCUUCACUAGAGGUUACAUCACAUUGUGACGUGAAUCACCAAGAUGAGAUACAGAAUACAAUGAAGACUUUAUUUCAAACCAAAAGUCAAGACAUGAGACUGAGACGUCAACAGUGACAAACUGGAUCAUGGAAUCUCAAAGUAUCGUUUGGAUAGAAAGGAGCUCGGCAAUCUUGUGGUCCACACCGCCUCAAUUUACCAAGGAAGCUGUGUAAACUAAGGUCUCCAGAUUUAUCCCAGAGACCCCACUCUGACGUUGCCCAUAGCAUUCCUGUUCUUAGGCCCCUGCAAUAGGCUGCUGGGCCCUGUACUUAAGGACCUCUGCACUGGUCCUUCCAUGGUGGGUGUGUUCCUGUGCACAGAGUGAAAAGCUGUGAUGCACACAGCCAGUCUUCCCACUUCUAAUCUGUUCUCUGGGCUCCCAGAAACCCAAGUUUUUUCCUCAAACAUCCAAAUGCCCAUAGCCCAGGCCUGCCUGGGUGUCCUUCCAGAUCUAGGCCAGUGUGCGCAAUUCUGGGCCCAAGGGGCAGCUGUUUGCAAGGGAUGUGCAUUGAGCAGAUUGGUGUUUGCUCUGGUGUUUUCCACCCACGUUUAAGAGAGGAUGUUCAUGCUGGGGCACAGAACCCAGGUGGAAAGGGAAGAACAGUGGGUCAGAAUUCAAUUGAUGUUGGUGACUGAAGAAUACAUAUUUUAGUGGCAGGUCUGUGCAUGGCACAGCUGUCUACUAUCUCUGCCUCACUUACUCUGCAGAAGUAAACAAACCCCCUGGGUUGACCCAAGUCUAGACUGUGUCCAGCAGCCAUUUCUUAUGAGGUAGCCCAGAGUAUUAUUGCUUGCUUUUCCACCUGGUGGCUCAAUUGGCUAAUUGAGCCUCAGGGUGCACAGGACCUCCAAUGAGGGUGCUGAGUGGGAAGGACCUGUCCUGCAGGAGUAGGUGUGCAUGUCCUCUAAUGCAUUUUGGCGUUUUCUAAGAAAAGAGGAUAAAUGUCUAAUGGCCAUGCUUUUCAGUUCUUUUCCAAAUUCCAGCAAUAGAAGAAAUUAAAGGGCAUUGAAUAAACCCAGAGGAUUGUUGGGUAGGAAAAUGAGCAUUUCCAACAAAGAAACUGUGUGUGUUUGAAGAAAGCAAAUUUGUUUUAAAGCAGCAUAAUCGAGCGCCACAAAACAAAGUGUCCAGUGAAAGACAGUAGCCCUAUGGUCAGGUAUUGGGGCUUAGAAUGUGUUUUAUACCCUCUUCUUUCUGGUUCAGGGUUGAUCUGAUGUGAUGAAUACUUUAUCGGGGGCAUUUUUUGCUACUAGACAAUAAACAGAGCCACAGCUGACUGCCCAGACACUUUUCUAAGUUAGAGAACAGUUAACAGCUGACAGGAUGGGUCACUUGGUAUGUGACUGGCAAACAAAGAGCAUUUUUCUAGAUGUCUAGGUUGGUGAAUCCUCAGAAAUGAAGGGUAUUCUAUGAAAACAUUGCUUUUUAUAGUCCCAUAACGCUUCCGCUGCACAACUCUGCUGCACAAUUCUGCUAUCUAAAAGACUGCUUUUUUUUUUUUUGUAGACAGAGACUCCCUCUGUCACCCAGGGUAGACUGUAGUGGCACAAUCUUGGCUCACUGAAACCUCUGCCUUCCAGCUUCUAAGCAAUUCUCCUGCCUCAGCCUUUGGAGUAUAUGUGAUUACAAGUGUGCACUACCACGCCUGGCUAAUUUUUUAUUUUCAGUAGAGACAGCAUUUCACCAUGUUGGCCAGGCUGAUCUCAAACUCCUGACCUCUGGUGAUCCACCACCCUCAGCCUUUCGAACUUCUGGGAUUUCAGGUGUGAGCCAUUGCACCAGGCCAAAGACUGCUGUUAAAAUUGGUACUUGAAUAAUGCUUCUGGUAAUUUUUUUUUUUUUUGAGAAUGAGUUUUGCUCUUGUUGCCCAGGCUAGAGUGCAAUGGUGCAAUCUUUGCUUACUGCAACCUCCACCUCUUGGGUUCUAAUGAUUCUUCUGCCUCAGUCUCCCAAGUAGCUGGGAUUAUAGGCAUGCACCACCAUGCUUGGGUUAUUUUUGAUAUUUAAUACACAUGGGGUUCCACCAUGUUAGUCAGGCUGGUCUUAACUCCUGACCUCAGGUGAUCCCCUACCUCAGCCUCCCAAAGUGCUAGGAUUACAAGCAUGCACUACUGCACCUGGCCAGCUUCUGGUGAAUUUAUAAACCAUUUUUUGUAGUUCACUAACCAGUUGAUUUUUAGUAAAUGAACAUGAUUAUUUGAUACUCUAGAAUUAAACUACCAUGUAAUCGUAAAUGGCAUUUUUCACCAGAUAGACAGAGAGAUUUGACACACAAAACAUAUUCUCUAUUCAUACCUUUUUUUUAUUUGAUCUAGAGUUUCAUUCUUGUUGCCCAAGCUGGAGUGCAAUGGCCUGAUAUUUUCUCACUGUAACCUCUGCUACCCAGGUUCAAGCGAUUCUCCUGCCUCAUCCUCCCAAGUAGCUGGGAUUAUGGGCACCCAACACAAUGCCCCACUGAUUUUUGUAUUUUUAGUAGAGAUGGGGUUUUACCAUAUUGGCCAUGCUGUUCUCAAACUCCUGACAUCAAGACAUUUACUGGCCUUGGCCUCCCAAUGUUCCGGGAUUACAGGCAUGAGCCACCACACCCAGCUCAUAACACCUCUAACCUUCAAAAACAUGCAUUGUUUCUGCUGGGGGUUUUCUUUACUAACUUGAUUAAAUACUUUUUUGUCUUUUUUAUGAUAUUUGGAGUCAUUCUCAUGGGAGAACAUGCAGGUUUUUCCUUGAUGGUAAAGGAAAGGAAGGACUGUAGAAUUAGAAUUUUUCAUUACUAUCAAAGAGUCUUUAUCUUCUGUAAGGAAUCUCAUGAUAUGGUAUGUGAAACCCAACCAGAAAACAUUUUAGGAAGUUCCACUUGAAGUUUCUGAAAUCAAAGAAGCCAUCUGCAUCCUUUCUGUCUUGAAAAUAUGCCAUAUUUGUGGGAUUUUAAAAUAAACCCUGCUUUUCUAUUUGUCUCUUCUAAGUAAGCUAAAAACUUCUAUAGUAAGCUAAAUUUAGCUUCCCUAGUAAGCUAAAAACUCAGAUUGUGUCUAUCCUGAUUAGUGCCAGCUAAGCCUUCAGCUAUAGAAAACACAUGAUAAUGUUUUUCCAUAGAGGACUAUGUGUUUUUCCUCCCAGUAACAUAUCUGUGAGAUUUAUAUUUCCUCAUAAUAGGUCCCAAAGGCAAAUACUUAAAGAUGUUGCCUGAUGAUGGAGAAUUGGAGAGAUGAGUAAAACUUAAUCCAAAAUUAGAUUAGGAAAUGUGUUUAUAUUUUCUGCAUGCUUCUCCCAAUGCUUUUAACUUUAGUAGUGGUAGAGAGAAUAGCAUGUUAUUUGGUCUCUGAACAAAAGUCAGUAGACCUAACAGGGUUUAUGCCCCAAACAGUUAUAUAACCUUUGGCAAAUCACUUUACCUGCAUUAGUCUCCCAAUCACCAAAGUCAGAAUAAUACCACUCACCCUAAUUACCUUUGAGAAUUGUGGAAAAGGUAUAACAACCCAUGGAAAAUCUAAAACAUGCAUGCUCUUCUUUUUCCUGGAGUGAUGAAUUAUUUUUAAACCUUCAUGAAUAGAAAGAUUGCUGUGAUUUAAACUCCAAAUUCUUCUGGCCACAUAAUUUUAACAUUUUAUAGAUUCUAAAUUGUAUGUUUCUCAGCAAGGUCCGUUGACCACCUGCAUCCAAAUCAUCUGAGUUGCUUGUUAAAAUGACAACUUUUCCACCUACAGGCAAUCUCUCUCCCUCUCUCUGUCUCUGCCGCUGUCUCUCUCUCUCUCUCUCUCUCUCUCUCUGUCUCUCUCUCUCUCUCACACACAAACACACACACACAAACACAGUGAAUUGGAACCUCUGGGUGUGGCACACCAGCAUCUACAUUUUAAUAAAUCUCCAGGUGAUUGUUUCCUUUAAAUUUUGAGAACCAUUGCUCCAAAAUACCUGAUUUUGAUGAAAGAUGGAAACUGAAAGAAGGGCAUAUUUAAAUGUACAGAUUCUCUUCAGUGUGCUCAGAAGACAAACCCUACCACUUUGAUCUGCAGUAGCAAAGACAUCUUUUGUUUCGGGUGUAGUGGCAUCUUGUCACCUUUUGCUUUCUCUGCGUUCAUUUCCCCUUUUUCUGGUUCCAGACCCUUCAUUUAUUGCCUUCUUUAAGAACAUAACAUUCAAAAGGUGCUGGAUCUACCUCUCUGCCACCUCUGUGGUCUGGAUCUGGGGCCUAAAUCUAGUCAACAAAGCUUUUUAUUUGGAGAAUGGUGAGAAAAACAUGAGGCAGCUUCUAAUCCACAGCUUCUUAGUAUCCCGUAGGCUUUACAUGGCUUUGCUUGUUGCUCAUUGUAGAGUCAAAUUUAUGACAAAACGGAUACCUCUAGAACACUUCUUAUGGAGUCUUAUUGGGAAAAAGGAGUCAGGUUUGCAGGACCAGGGGAAAGCAGGAGAAAGCAGAUAAACUAUAAAUUGGGUUUUCUUCAUGGUUCAGAACAUGUAGCCUUCCUACACCCCACUUAUCACCAGGCACCUGCAAGUUAGCUUAUUUGCAAUCUUGGUGUUUUCAGGACUGUACAAAGCCCUCUUCAGCACACAGCAUAAAUGUCUCCAGGAAGUAUUCGUUUUAUUGUAGUUGGCUUUUCUAAUGCUUAUGUGCUCACUGCUUUCAUGCAACCUAUUUUCAUACUUUCUCUAAUAAAUCUGCCUUUCUUUAUCUACAAAUGUUUUGAUAAAUUCUUUUGCCCUUGCACCACCAGCCCAGAUAUUUGUUGGUCUUAUCUGAGACACUAUUUGUAUACAUGGAAAGGAUCUGUAAUAUCUAAGUAGGCUUUGUGAACAUUCAUCCCAUAUGACUCUUAUAGGUAAAAUUCCAAAGCUUACAAAACUAAUUUAUGGUGUUGUAGAUCAGAAGAGUGGUUAUGCCUGAGUUAAGGGAUGAUGAGUAAGAAAUGGAAAUGGGAUGAGGAUACAGUUUCUAACUUUAAAAAAAUAAAAGUGCUGUUCACAGUUAUUCAUUUUUUGAAAAUAGAACACAAUUUGAGAUGCACACGUUUAAUUUGAUUUGUGCACUUUAUGUAUGCAUAUUCUACUUCUAAAAAGUUUUCACUAAAAAUAACCCAUAAGGUUGUAAAAAAUUGCCUCAGCCAAACAUUUUUAAUACUCAAUUCUGACAAGAGAAGGAAAGAACGACAACAAACCUAAAACCAUGUCGUCCAUAUGCAGCCUCUGAAAGACAAGCUUGCUUCACAUUCACCCUGUGAGCCAUUUACAUUAUGAUUAUACCUAAGUUUUGAUUUGUUUAUUGAGAAUUCCCAGUUUUGUUUUCAGUUUUUCUUUAACAGACCAAAAUAAUCAUAUCAAUAUGUUUUUGAUUCUCAAUGGAAUACUUUUGAAUAAAUUUUUCAGUGGGGUGCUUAUGCAAUAAAUAAUCUAGAAAUUCCUUUCAACACACUGACUUGGAUAUUAUUGCCAUUGGGGUGAUAUUUGAGGUUGAAGCAAAAACAGUACCAGCAUUACCAAUGGAGAUGGAGGCAUGGAGACAGAAAAAGCCCACAUACUAGAGACUACCAUUAUUUGCAGAAUGGGUAAACAAUGGUAACAUCGUUUACCUUCCUAACAAAGGAAGCACAGGUCACCAAGACAGAGUUCCAUGAUUUUUCUGUAAGAAUGCCCGAAUAUUUCAAUUUUAUUUUCAAUUUAUAAAAGCGAAAUUGCUUUGGGGUGUUGUAAAAUUCUGUCUGCCGUUUCAGGGUAGGGCCAAAACAAUAUUCUGACUUUGAUAUUUAGUAACAUCAGAGUUUUUCUCAUUCAGGAACUUUAUCUAAAAGAUGUCUAUAAAUAUUUUGUAUAAAAUUUCUGAAAUAGGCUGAUAAAAAGGCUUUCCUUUUUAUCUCUAUCAAGUUCAUAAAAAAAAUAAAGCAGAAGAGGAAGCAAUAAAGUAUGGACAAUUGCCUGCAGUCACUAAUCAAGAGAGUCCAUGUGGCUGGGAAUAUGCAAUGUUCUGAAAUAUUUUGUAGCUGGGUUAUUUAACCUUAUGGUUUAUAGAAACUUGGAAGUUGUAUGGGGCCAUGUAUAUAGAUGAAAAUUAUAUUGAAAUAAGAAAUUAUUUUAUCAUAUUAGUCUAGAAAGUCUAUUUAUGCAUUUCCUUCUCUUCUUCAUCUUCAACUUAUAUGGCAUUUUUUUUCCUAUGACCUAUCAGCCACUAUGCCAAGAAGCAGCGUAAUUUCUACCACAUGAGAGAAACAUCACUUUUGCAUUCUCCACAAAAAAUUUAAAUUUUGUGUGCCACCUUCACACAGUAAUUUGUUUUACUAUUUUUGUUGCUGCUUCAGCUCUGAUCUUUUUCUUCACAUCUUAUUACAGAUUAAUGUAUUUCAGUUGCUGUUAAAUUUGUUUUCUCAUCCUUUGUCAUAUGUAUAAUUUAAAUGAUUUACUAAAUUAAUAAAAACUUAAAUCUUUUUAUAGAAAGAAUGAAAAAUAAUCCCCCCUCGAUGAAAUAUUGCAUGAAAGCUUGCAUGACAAAAUCCCCUAGUGUUUUUUCUAAAACUCUUACUUUUCUGUAUUAUGUGGCUAUAGAAUUUUUUUAAACAGUAAUCUCACUGUUCUUAGAAAAAGCUCUGAAAUGUCCUUUCAUCAUAAUCCUGUUCACAUUUGCUUGAGGCCUAUUGAUGGAUUAGUGUUUUUUUAAAAAACAAAACAAAACACAAUGAUUAUCUGAAGCUUGGUAUAGGUUUUUGUGCAAAUUAGCAUGUUGUCACUGUCACUUCUGCAUCCUCCUUCCCAAGUGUGUGACUUCUCUUUAACAUUCACGAUGGUCACUCUCCUGGCAGCAUUUACCUUCUGCCCAUUUAUUCCUUCUAGAACUUCUUUGUCAUUUGAUCCUGAAACAUAAUUCUUCUCUAGAUUUUCUUCUGUUUCGUUGGUUUAUUCUCCUUUAUUGCUCACUUCUUAAUUUGGUCUGAAGAAUAUUCUCCUCAGUCAAUUUUUUUUUUUUGAUGGAGUCUCGCUGUGUCUCCAGGCUGAAGUUGAAUGGUGCAUUCUUGGCUCAUGGCAACUUCCCCCUCCUGGGUUCAUGUGCUUCUCCUGCCUUAGCCUCCAGAGUAUCUGGGACUACAAGUGUGCAUCAGCAGGCCCAGCUAAUUUUUGUAGUUUUAGUAGAGACAGGGUUUCACCAUGUUGGCUAGGAUGGUCUCAAUCUCCUGAUCUCAUGAUCCAUCCACCUCAGCCUCUCAAAGUGCUGGGAUUACAGGAUUUUUUUUUUCAAUUUUUUACCUUUUUUCUAAUUUACAUCCUAUAUACCAAGGCUUCAAAUCCAGCUAAAACUAAACUAACAACUUCCAAGUAUAUAUCAUUAGCACAACACUUUACAGUUGCUUAUAACUGAAUUUACUUUGAAAGUGGAGAUACAUUUUUUUUUAUCUUUUGUAUUUCUUUAAAAACUAAUAGAAUACUUGGUAUGCAAAUAUUAGGUAUAAAAAAUGUACAUAAAUUAAAUUGUUAAAAUAAUUUCUAUAUCAAUUUUAAGAUUGUAUUUUAAUGAGAUAUGUUCCAGUGAUUCAUUGAAAAAACAAAUGCUGUAGAUUUUUUUCCCCAAGAUACGUUAUUUGUACUUAUGUCCUAAUGACCAACAGACUAUCCUCACAAUUGAUCCAUUUUUAGCUCAAGUCUCCAAGAGACAGAAAUGCAUGCUAGGGAUUCAGAUGAUAUUUUACACAAUAAUAGUUUUCUUUAUUCUUGUGGGACAUACUGAUUUUGAGCAUAAGUCUGUCGAAUAGAAAAAAGAAAAUAUUGGGAAAUUCUUUUUUUUUUUUCUUAGCGGUGGUCUGUUAUUGCUGAAAGUGAAUAUACUCUAGAGCUAAAGAAAGACCUAUAUUUUUAGCAUUUAAAAACAGAGCUGCAUUUGGGUUCUAUGGAAACAGACGAUAUGGCACAUGUUACAAAAUUUUGUUUUAAAGCAUUACUCCCAGGUUAAGUUACGUUUGCCAAAUUACAAGCCAAAAUAUGUUUUUACAAAUCAGCAAAGCUCUGAAUUGAGAGUCUGUGAUGAUAAAAGGGUGCUCCUAUUUUGUGAUGGGUCAAAAGUGCUCUGUCCAGCUGUGGAUAAGAAAAUGAACCUUUCAUUGCCUUAGAAACAUGCUGUGUCUCUUCCUGACUGGACUAGUAAAGCCAAAGAUGGUCUCUGAGAUUUACAUUUGUUUAAUUAGAAAUGUGUUAAUACAUGUUGUGCAUUGCUUUCACUCAGUUUUAGAGUGAUCGGUGGUUUUCCUCAACAUGUGUUUGAUGUUUCCUUAGGGCAAAGUUCUACCACUCAAACAUGAUAGGGUUGAAAGUGCAUUAUAUUUCAAAUGGGGUAGAAAUCAGGUUGCUUCUUAGAUCUGAGCCAUUUGGUCCCUGCCUUCAUCCUUAUUAGCUUACAGUAUAUAAAUAUCAUUAGGGGACUCUGUGAGGUGGGUUCCGACUGAUGUUGGAGGGGAUAUGAUAAAGUUCCUGCCUCUGCAUUUAAGUGUAUGAGUGUUUCACAGGGGUGGCCAACAUGUCCCACUCUGGGAACAGAAUGACAACAACAAAAGGCCAAAGAAGGUUUUCUUUAAAAAUUUUCAAUGUAAUAUAUUAAACAGAUUUGAUGUACUGAAUUGCUUUUGUGUAUGUUUGUGGUUUCCUUGAUUUUGACACUUCACAGUAUUUUGAAAAGUUGGAGGUAUGUGUCUUUACGGCUUUUUCUCAUUUUUUAUUAGUAGGUGUUGUCAGUUUGAGUACUUUCUAUGCAGAGCCUAUCUUUCAUGCCACCUACUAAUCUCUUUGGUUAUGAGACAUUUAUAUUGGCUUUAGGGGUGGAGUUUUCUUGAUGCUUAUGGAAAAAUAAGUUAAAAUAUAAUGACAACAACAAAUGGAAACUUUCAUCUCUCUCUUUCUCUCUCUCUCUCACACACACAUGCAAAUUAAUCAUCUUUUCUUCUUCUACCUGUGUCACACAGCUAUUCUGGGACACUGUGGAUACAGAGUGUAAUGCUCCCUUGUUUAUGGCUUGGAGCUGCUCCCUGCAACCCCCUCCUCUGUAAUGUCCUAUUUGGUAACACUGUGGACUAAUGGGGCCACAGGUUGGAUCUUACCUUUUUUGUGAAGCACAGAGAUUUUGUUCAUGUUUUUAUUUUUUGCCUCAAUAUGAGGACAGAAGGAAUUUAUAACUCCUGAUAGAAAAUAUUCUUCAAAUAAUAUCCAGGACUGACAGCAUAAAAAGUUAACAAAAAGUGUUAAGUGGCUGGUAAUAUUACACCCAGGUUUGGGACUAUUUUUAUAAAACAUAUUGGAUGUAUCAAUAAAAUAUCAUUUUAGCAUAAAUGCAGAGAAGUUUAUUACACACAAGCAUGGCUGCAUACUUGCAUUCAUUCCUAGUUUGAAUGCUGGAACUCCAUAGAACCAGGACAGCUUAAGAUGGCCUGCCAGUGUGCCUUAGCAGUUUUGUAUUACAGGAGCUGUUCUUUCUGUUGUGAUGUGACAUGCCACAAUACAUGUAAUCCCCCAUCCUGGUUUUGUCUGACAAACUGAGUAUAUAGGACCUAAUUUAUUUAGAGUUUGCCAGGUAACACAUAAAGGUGUCUGGUAGACUCCCCUGAAAAUAUACUAUGGUAAUGUCAAGAAUUACAAUAGUGAAGGACUGGUUACUUCCUGCAGAUCACAGGGAUAAUGGAGGCCUCUCAGGGGAGGCACCAUCUCAGCAGAGGUCUGGGUGAGGAGUAGAGCUGGUGGUGCCCAUGCCAGAAAAGGCCAAGCUGAGCCAAGGACACAGAAUGUGGUAUGUUCUGAGGACAGGGCCACAGCUAGCCCAGCAGGCAGGAAAGAGCAGGUGCAGGGGAGAAUGGCAGAAAGGAAAGAAGAGGGGUACACAGCAGCUGGACCACAGGGGUAAGAACCUUUUACAAAGGUAAAACGCAGGACAAAAAACUUGACUUCCUGGAAAUGGGAUGGAGAGCCUCUGGAUAGCUUUAGCAGGAAAAUGACAUGCUCUGAUGUGCAAUUUAAAAGCUGACCCUGACUUUCUGUGGAACAUAGAUGGUAUAGGGGAAGGAGUGGAGGCAGGGAGGCCAGGUGGGUGAUGAGGACUUGCACUUGGGAGUCAGGUAGACACAGAAACAUGGCUGUGUUUAGCAUCUCAGCACCUGUGUAGCAACUGGAGUAGAAGGUGUCAACUGAAGAAUCAUGAAGUUCAAAAUUUGUAAAGAGCUUUAUUUCUCAUAAAAGGUUACAGGCUGAAGGCUGGCCAUCCUGCUGGCUAGAAGGUAUAGCUGAGAGUAAGCACUUGGAGGGGAGGGAAGGCAAGACAGAAAUUCAUGCUGAAUGGGGUGGUCAAAUAUACAUAUUUAAUGAGCUAUAGGAGGAGUUACAAAUAUUUAUGAGAGAAGAAACCUGUUCAGGAACAAUUCUUAAUCCCUCUUCAUGGAUUGCAUGUUUUUAAAAUGGCAGCAUUACUGUGAUCUGAGGUGGAGUUUUCAGCCCUCUAACAUCAAAACGUGAAGUGAAGGACACCAAAAUUCUCAUUGCAUCCUCUAAGAGUCAGCCAAGGCACAUACAGAGAUGGUGGUGACUGUUUAGAAAGUGACUGGUAAGCUGUCACUUGGAAGCAGUGAAGAGGAAGGGGAAACUGGUAGCAGCCUCACAUGACUGACUAAAGAUGACAAAGAAACAAGUCAUCUAUCUUUUUCCAGAGGUGUCUCUGCUGACUCCUUAAAAAAGAGUUUUGGCUAAAGGUUGAUAAGGAAGGGGCAUACCGAGGUAUGUUUGACAUCUGAUACAGCUGUUAACUCAGUUUUUAAGGUUUCUCUGGAAUGUUCUUGGCCAAGAAAGUCAACCUCAGUUGACUAUGGUGAUUAAAUUUUUUUUUUUCAUAUUUCUCAAAGAUUAGCUAAAAGGAAGAACCAAAGCACGUGCUAGAAAUUUGCCUAAACAAGAGUUUAGGGAGGUAGUGGAGCUGUUAGCCAAGAUGGAAAUCACUUAGAAAAAAGGGGCCCUGUGGAAGAACUACAUCUCCAUUCUAGCCAUAUCAGUUGCAAAUGUAGGUGACAGAGAGAAGCAGCAGAGUACCCAUGAGUGUCUUCAUGGAGUUUAGAUCAUGAUGGGAGAAAAGACUGUGUGAUUGAUAUAAGAGAGUGUCCAAGGUAUGCCUCAUCUUAGAAGCCAGGCGGUGGUAUAAUUAGUGCUGAAAUGUGGACUGUGGGGUGACUUCAUUGAUCUGGUAAGAAAGAAGGAGCUGAAGGGAAACAGGUGGAAGAGGCAAAGCAACUGGCUAGGUCUGUGUAAGUACACUCCAGGAUGUUUUCACAAUAGGAUGCAUUUCUCAAAAUGCAUUUCCAUUUUUAAGUGAUAUGCAUCUGUAUUUUGUAAACUGUUGAUCCCCUCUGGAAUGGUUUGGAGACUAUUUUUAUUUCACAGGUACCAACCUAAAUAGGACUUUUCCUACUAAGAAAUAGUGAGGUACCAUAAAAUUCAAUAAAAUGUGAUGGACUCUUUAGACUUCCAGCCUUCUAUUCAUGAAUGAGCUCUGUGUUGCUUAUAAACUGAGCACCAAGAUAGGGCAGAUUUUGCUUAAUCGAGUAAUGAUGCAUGACUGGUUGCUCAGAUAGCACAGCUGCAGUGUGCUGGAGAAAUAGCAACAUUCUCUGCAAACAGUCAAAUUAUUACAGUUAUCAUUUUAAACUGUUAACAUUUUAAGCAAAAUAGAAAAAGACAAUAGUCAGGAGUAUAGUAAAAUAAUGAAUAUGAGAUAAAGUCAGACCACGAUUGCUGGGCUAAAAAUUGAAGCCAUUUUAUACAAAGUGUAAGGCUUGCAAUUGAUUGAAAUAAAAGUUAUGAAAAUAAUAGCAAAUCAUAAUAUAGGAAAUAUUAGUAAGUUAUAGAAUAGAAAGUAUAGCUGUUGUCUGCUAUACUUUAUAGGUCUGCAGGAGGAUUGCUUGAGCCCAGGAGUUCUGGGCUGUAGAAUGUCAUGCUGAUAGGGUAUCUGCACUAAGCUCAACAUUAACAUAGUAUUCUCCUAGGAGCAGGGGACCAUCAAGUUGCCAAAGAAGGGGUGAAUAAGCUCAGUCAGAAACAUGGAAUCAAAACUCCUGCACUGAUGAGCAGUGGGCUCACACCUGUGAAUAGCCACUGCCCUCCGGCUUGGGCAAUAUAGCCAGACUCUGUCUCAUAAAAAAUUUAUUUGAAAAAAUAUAUAUCUGAUACCAUGAAACAGUCACUGACGCUAGCAUUGGAAAGACAUUGAUUCAAUUCUUGCCUCAGCCCUUUAUUAUGUGACAUUUGAUUGAACCCCUGAGCCUCAAUUCCUUCAUCCAUGAAAUGGAAAUAAUUAGUAUGUCUAUUGCAAGGGUUUUGAAAUAAUAUAUGUUGGAGUACUCAGGAAGAGUUGUUGAUAGAAGAGAGUCGAAACUGAAACUCUUGAGAAAUAAUAAGUUUAUUCUGCCCCUAUGGCUCCUUUGUAGAGCAUGCCUUGUAGCUUGUAAUUAGUGGUAGGCAGGUAACAGCUGCCUACCUGGUAUAUUUUUGAGUUAUGUGUAUCUGUAGAACACCUGUGUAUUAACAAGAAUCACCUGUCAAAGAGCAAACAAAUAACAUGGAUGAAAGUCUGCUUGAGGCCUUUAGUCUAGAGAGCUGUCAGCCCCGCAGGCUCUCAGGCUGUUGGUCCCCUGGAUGGAUCCACUCUGUUGUUCUAUCUGGGUGUCUGCCUCUCAAUACCUUCAGCCCACCUGGCUGAGGGUUUCUGGACUAAGCAAGUUCUUGCUAAGUGGCACCCAAGUGUGGGGACUUGAACCCAGGAUGAAGAGUUGCCUGAGCAAUGGAGAAAGGAGAGGUAUCUUGAGUACAUUUGGAAAGAAUUCCCAGGACAAGUUGGGGAGCUCAGAAGGUAUCCCAGGAAAAUUUGAAAAGAAUCCUCCAGAUGAGUUAGGAGGAUCCAGAGGGAACCUGGGGGAGACUCCCAGGUGAGCUAGGAGAACCCAGAGCUAGACCAAGAAUGUUUGGAAGAGAAAGAAAAAAAUCUCCCAGGAUGAGCUGGGGGAGCUUGGAGUUGGCCUGAGAACAUUUGAAAAGAUCUCCCAGGGUAGCUGGGGGAGCUCAGUCAUAUAGGGUAACAUGGGAUAAAGAUAAAGCAAACAUGGGGCUUAUUUGGUGUGGUCUCUUUGGGCUUUGGUGUGUUUUGCCCUGGAACUGUUUCAGACCCAUGAGGAGGAAGACAAUUCAGGAGAGGAGUCAUGUGAUAAAGUAUGUAAAGAAAUUAUAGAGCAAAAAGAUUAAAAGUCAAAUGAGGAAAAGGUGUGCCCAUCAGACCCCCACUCCAGGUAUCCUAUCAAAGAAUGGCCAGGUCCUACCGAUAUUUCUACUUCUGCUUCUGUUGGUGUUUGUAUUGCUAGAACUAUGGUAAGCAGUUCAGAUGUUCGUAUUCCUAGAAUUAUGAUAACUGGUUUCCUCCAAGCCAGAAUUCAACAAGUGAAAAAAGAGGAAGAUUCGGAGGCAAGCCAAUUUCCAGUUCUUGUACACCCUCAAUAUCAGCAGGGGCAGGUAUAGGCUGCUUUUGAACCCCUUCCCUUUAAACUGCUAAAGGAGUUUAAACAAAUCAUCAAUCAGUUUGGGUCUGAGUCUCUGUUUGUGCUAGGAUUAUUGAAGAUUGUAGCUAUUUCUUGCCAGCUGAUUCCAAUAGAUCUGAUUUUGGGAAAUGGGUUGAGGGGCAUUCCUCGGGCCCCAAUCCAUACUGGGGCCUAUCCAGUAUGAGUGAUUCCCUCAUCCCUGUACAAUGCUUGUUCUCCACCACAGCUCAGAGCACAGAAGUAGAUUUGCGCAGGCAGCUCUCAAUGGGUAAGCAUUUUACUGGGAGAGACACCGCAAAAAAUAUCUACAGGAGUUUGUGGCCUUUUACCCCUGGAAUUGUAGGCUUACUUCUAGGAAGAUGGUCUUACUGCCUAAGGAGAUAGAAUUCAUACAUGAGUUACCGAUGCAGACUUUUUAGGGGAAAUACAAAUUGUAGUGACUUCUUCUGUUCCUUGGAGUGCUGAGCCUGGGGAACGUGUAGCACAGCUUUUAGUUAUACCAUAUGAAACAAUAGGAAAAAGUGAAUGUAAAAGAGCAAGAGGACUUGGAGGUAUAAACAGACAAGACAGAGCAGCAUAUUGGGUAAAUCAAAUUAGUGGUGAACAUCCUACAUGUGAGAUUACAAUUCAAGAAAAUAAAUUUAAAGGAUUGGUAGAUAUUGGAGCAGAUGUUUCUAUUAUUUCUGUCUUUCCAACGGUGGCCACUUUCUUGGCCCAUGGAAAAUGCUCAGUUCAGUGGGCUUGGAGUAGGGGAGGCCUCUGAAGUGUAUCAAAGUAGUCAUUUUAACCUGCCUGUGAGAUAGCUUGGAAUUAUUCAGCCUAUUGUGAUGCAAAUGCUUUUUAACUCGUAGGGAAAAAACUUGUUGCAGCAAUGGGGAGUUCAGGUUUUAAUACCUGAACAUUCAUGUAGCCCUCCAGGCCAUCAAACGAUGAAAGACAAGGGCUAUGUGACUGGGAUGGGAUUGGAAGAAAAUUUGCAGAGCCCAAGGGAAUCUUUAGGAACUAAAGCACAAACUCUUGUCAGGACUUAGGAUAUCCUUUUUGAUAGCAGCCAUUGUUAUGCCUCCAGAGCCUAUAGCUUUGAAAUGGAUGAUGAACAAAUUGAUAUGGAUAGAGCAAUGGCCACUAACAAAAGAAAAACUGGGGGAUUUAGAAAAUUUAGUUACUGAACUACACCUAAAUAAACAGUCCAAGGAAGAAACUACAAGGCAAUUGAUCUGGUGGUGAAAUCCACUCACGAAGAAUUGGGAAAGAGGUAAUGUAAUAACCUGGGGGAGAGAAUUUGCUUGUAUUUCUGCAGGUCCAAAUCAACAACUGGUGUGGAUACCAUUCAGACAUUUAAAGCUGUACUAUGAGCCAGACAUAGUACAAUGACCAAAAUGAGACUUGUAGAGAACCUCCAACUCACAGAGAUGGCAAGACUAUCAUCAAGGGGGCGUACUGUUCCCACAAGGGGAUCACACCAAAUGUCACCACCAACUUGUGGUCAAAAUUAAAAAAGCUUUCACAAAGAGCAGAGGAAAACAUGAAGAAAACAGGACAGCUUAUUAUGGUAAUCAUGUUGAUGGUUAUCACAAUUAAAGUGAGUAUUUCUGGAGCUGGGAUAAAAGUAAAAGAAAGUUUCACUCAUUAGACAUAUAUUCUUUCCUUCCUUUAAUGAUUGCUGGCCUUGGCAUUUUCUGUAAUAAUUUAGGAAAUAAAGUAACAAUGCUUUGGCCGUCAAAACUUGAACGCAAAUAAAAGAAUGGUCCCCUAAGUUAAAGACAUUAACCUGUUGAGAUUGUGUUGUGAUAGAGGCUGAGGUGCUACACAACAAUUCCUAUGGAAUUAUUAUUAUUAUUGAUCAUUGGUCCCCUAAGGGGAUACUUAGUAUUUGAUUAUACCAAUCAGUCCUCUUGUAGGAACAUAAAAUUCAGAUGGUGGAUAAGAACUACAAUUAUUUGGAAUUUAUACAUAUUGAGAUAAACAAUUUUAUUAUCUGGUGAGAUGAUGGAUUAAUAAAGCCACUACCAAAAAUAGUAUGGCCAAUGAUAAGAGCUGAAUAAAAAGAACUUUGAAAGAUAGUUAUGACUCUAAAACCAAUAAAAGUCUGGGAAGGGAAAUAUAAUAGAAAAUCACAUGCUAAUUUAUUCAUUAGAAAUUUACCAGAAAUAAAAGCUCUUUAGAUUCAGAGCUGUGUUAAACCCCCCACAUCUUUUGGUGGUGGGAGAAUUUUUAAUUAACUUUAGUAACUCUAAAAAGUAUAAUCAGACUGAACAUAAUCAGAAGAGAAUAAAACAGCACUGGAAAGACCUUUAGACAGCAAGCAAGGAGAUGGGACCCAGAGGGCUCUCCAUGUCCCUUUUCAGCAGGAAGUAGUUACACUCCUUAAGGAAGAAACCUAAGAGUAGGUAGUUAGUCAGGUUCCGAGGUGCUUGAGGAAGCUCUAGGAUUUGGAUGAAAACAUUUGGAGAAUCUGUGAUUGCUGUUAUGAUUAUGUUAUUAAUCUGUCUUGUUUCUCUUUGUGUAGUUUGCAGUAUGGAUCCAGAAGCCUCAAAGAAAUGGUUCACCAAGAUACAGCUGUACUUGCUUACCUAGUUUUGUGAAACAAAGAAGGGGGAGAUGUUGAGAAACAGCCAAGCCCAUCUGCAAAAAGACAUUGCUGUAGGCAGAGCAAGAGUUGGAAACCAAGUCUCCAGUCCUGGGAAAAGCAGUGCUAUGCAACAGCAAUGGAAAGAGAUGCAACUCAAAAAGCUUGAGCCGCAAUUGUUGAAGGGAGGAGAACACAAGGCGAAAGAGUACUGGGAGAAGGACUCUAAGAAGGAGUAAAACCACUUCAAUACCAAUUAAAGAGGAAAAGGAUGGGAGAUGAACUCCAUGUACCCAGGAAGACAAGGUGUCCACAAUAUUAUGGGCGAUUGUGUCAUCCUCAGGCAAGUUUUGAUGAGAAAAUCAAUGGCAUGAAUUUCCUGCUGAAGCUUGAAAACAUUUAGAGAUAAAUUGUCAUGAGUCCAAAUUCCUUGUAAAUGAGCCUUAACAAGAGGCCACUGCCAUUUAGUGUCA